GAAAUGCGAUAAGUAAUGUGAAUUGCAGAAUUCAGUGAAUCAUCGAAUCUUUGAACGCACCUUGCGCUCCUUGGUAUUCCGAGGAGCAUGCCUGUUUGAGUGUCAUGGAAUUCUCAACCCAUAGAUCCUUGUGGUCUACGGGCUUGGAUUUGGAGGCUUGCCGGCCCUUACACGGGGUCGGCUCCUCUUGAAUGCAUUAGCUUGAUUCCGUGCGAAUCGGCUCUCAGUGUGAUAAUUGUCUACGCUGUGGCCGUGAAGCGUUUGGCGAGCUUCUAACCGUCCGUUAGGACAACUUCUUGACAUCUGACCUCAAAUCAGGUAGGACUACCCGCUGAACUUAAGC
rnacentral:misc_RNA from 1 species